rnacentral:rRNA from 1 species
CCUAAGGUAGCGAAAUUCCUUGUCGGGUAAGUUCCGACCUGCACGAAUGGCGUAACGACUUGGGCGCUGUCUCGACCAUGGACCCGGUGAAAUUGCACUGGUCGUGAAGAUGCGACUUACCCGCGGAAGGACGGAAAGACCCCGUGAACCUUCACUGCAGCUUGGCAUUGGCCGCUGGUCCCGCGUGUAGAGGAUAGGCAGGAGGCGAAGAUCCGGAGGCGCCAGCCCCCGGGGAGCCGCCCUUGGAAUACUGCCCUCGCGCGACCGGCGUCCUAACCCGAGGCCGUCAACCGGCUCGGGGACCGUGCCAGGCGGGCAGUUUGACUGGGGCGGUCGCCUCCUAAAGGGUAACGGAGGCGCGCGAAGGUCCGCUCGGGACGGUCGGCAACCGUCCUUUUGAAUGCAAGAGUACAAGCGGGCUUGACUGCGAGGCCCACAAGCCGAGCAGGUGCGAAAGCAGGCUCUAGUGAUCCGGCGGCCCCGAGUGGGUGGGCCGUCGCUCAACGGAUAAAAGGUACUCCGGGGAUAACAGGCUGAUCUUGCCCAAGAGUCCACAUCGACGGCAAGGUUUGGCACCUCGAUGUCGGCUCAUCGCAUCCUGGGGCUGGAGCAGGUCCCAAGGGUACGGCUGUUCGCCGUUUAAAGCGGUACGCGAGCUGGGUUCAGAACGUCGUGAGACAGUUCGGUCCCUAUCCUCCGUGGGCGCAGGAGAAUCGAUGGAGGCUGCCCCCAGUACGAGAGGACCGGGGUGGACGCACCUCCGGUGAACCGGUUGUCGACCAACGGCACGGCCGGGUAGCCGCGUGCGGCGCGGAUAACCGCUGAAGGCAUCUAAGCGGGAAGCCGUUCCAGGGAUUAGUUCUCCUUCCGGUAAGGGCCCAGGUAGACUACCUGGUCGAUAGACGGCAGGUGCAAGGCUGGCGACAGCCUCAGCCGAGCCGCACUAAUCGCCCGAGCUCUUCCGGAA